rnacentral:ribozyme from 13 species
CUCAACAAGAGAAGCAGAAGGCUCCCGAUAAGAAAGAGGGUAAAACUGGGCAAGUUGAGUAAACAACCCUUUCCUGUCCUCCUCUAUUUUCUUCCUUUCUUUCUCCUUCUCUUUUUCUCUUUCUCCUUCUGAAGUGUUGGCGAGAUUGACCCUUUGCAUGACUAGGUGGGUGAACCAAGCAGAGAAAUCGUCAAGUUCGUUCUUAGCUUUGUCUUCUUGUACUUUUUGCAUUGCUGUAGCAACAUCCCCAGAUAAACACAUUUCUGUAAUUUCUUGUCUUUUGAUCUUAAUUAAACAU